CCUUAUUCUCCAUAACUUUCACCAGAAGCAAUAAAAUGCUUACCCUCCCCAACACAAUGUGAAUGAUCAGAUGAAUGUACAUAUGAAGACAACUCAUUGAGAAAACAACUAUCGUAUCACAAAAAACAACUAUGUUAUCAGCAACGUUUAUAACCUCUACCUAAUUUGAUUUAAAUUAUCUGUGUUCUAUGCCUCAUCUGUGUAGUUUGCAAACAGGCUAUGUCGUGAGAAACCAGAUUAAUCACUUCUGUUUGCUGCUGCUGCUGAAGAAAAGCCACAAAUAGGUGACUCACAAUGUUCCUGUGUGAGUCAUCUGAAACAUCACAUUCUUUGGUCUCCAGUUCUGCAGAUCCGUGUUAAUAUCCAUCGGGGUUGUCGUGCUAAUUAAAUGAGCUUUUUGUUUUCUUGCCCUCUUUCUAGUCUUUUAAUACUCAUCAGCCUCGCUGAUGGCAAGGUCUGUGUAUCUACCUGCCUGACCUUGUUUAUCUGAAACGUGAUGCUGGUUUCCCCUGAGGUUCACCUGACCCAGUCUCCAAUGGGAAUAUCUGAGUCAGGCAUUCAGGGAUUCCUGAUAUGGCAGCCAGAAGAAACAGGUGCAUUUAAGGUGGCAACAGGGGACACCAGCACAGAAAAACCUUGUGGCAGGUGCCAGGAGGGUGGGGAAGAGAACCUGCAGCUGAGAGAUGCUACAGUGUCCCACAACUGCACUAGGAGUAAGGGUUUGCUGAGGAGAGAGCAGAAAAAUGCAGAAGCCAGGAGUCUUCUGGAGCCAGACAGGUUGUAUCUCCUUUUCUCUUGAGAUGAAAUAACAUUAAGGAAGAAGAGUGAAGUCUGGAAAGGGGAGCUUAAAGCAGCUGUAGUGAAUGACGUCUUUACUACUUUUCUUUAUGACUCUUAAUCUUUCUCUCCUCCCCUUCGAGACAGAGCGGAUGAGUUGCCUUCAAUUUCAAGAUUGUGCACUGGCAAAAAAUAUUAAAAUGUUUUUCAUUAGGAAGAGAGUGUUUAGAAAUGGAC
rnacentral:lncRNA from 1 species